AAGACCUUGCGCUUUUGGAGCGGCCGAUGCCUGAUUAGCUUGUUGGUAAGGUAAAAGCUUACCAAGGCUCCGAUCAGUAGCUGGUCUGAGAGGACGGCCGGCCACACUGGGACUGAGACACGGCCCAGACUCCUACGGGAGGCAGCAGUGGGGAAUUUUGGACAAUGGGGGCAACCCUGAUCCAGCCAUGCCGCGUGAGUGAAGAAGGCCUUCGGGUUGUAAAGCUCUUUCAGCCGGAACGAAACGGUUACGGUUAAUACCCGUGAUUACUGACGGUACCGGAAGAAGAAGCACCGGCUAACUACGUGCCAGCAGCCGCGGUAAUACGUAGGGUGCGAGCGUUAAUCGGAAUUACUGGGCGUAAAGCGUGCGCAGGUGGUUUUGUAAGUCAGAUGUGAAAGCCCCGGGCUCAACCUGGGAACU
rnacentral:rRNA from 1 species